GAAACCGUCUGUUAGAGUGCAAUGGCAUAAGCCCGCCUGACUGCGAGACUGACAAGUCGAGCAGAGACGAAAAGUCGGUCAUAGUGAUCCGGUGGUCCCUCGUGGAAGGGCCAUCGCUCAACGGAUAAAAAGGUACGCCGGGGGAUAACAGGCUGAUAACCCCCAAGAGCUCAUAUCGACGGGGGUUGUUUGGCACCUCGAUGUCGGCUCAUCACAUCCUGGGGCUGGAGCAGGUCCCAAGGGUUUGGCUGUUCGCCAAUUAAAAGUGGUACGUGAGCUGGGUUCAGAACGUCGCGAGACAGUUUGGUCCCUAUCUGCCGUGGGCGUCGAAAAUUUGAGAGGAGUUGACCCUAGUACGAGAGGACCGGGUUGAACAUACCUCUGGUGUACCAGUCGUUCUGCCAAGAGCGCAGCUGGGUAGCUAUGUAUGGACGGGAUAACCGCUGAAAGCAUCUAAGCGGGAAGCCUCCCUCGAGAUAAGAUUUCAUAGAGCCGUCGGAGACCACGACGUGAUAGAUCGGAUGUAGAAGUGCGGUAACGCAUGGAGCUAACCGAUACUAAUUGCUCUAUUCGCGCUUGAGA
rfam:Sphingomonas sp. Ant20 Sphingomonas_Ant20_264, whole genome shotgun sequence.